AACGCACAUGGCGCCUUCCAGUAUCCUGGGAGGCAUGCCUGUCCGAGCGUCGUUUCAACCCUCGAGCCCCAGCGGUUUGGUGUUGGGCGUCGGCCGUCCUCUGCGGCGGCCGUGCCCCAAAUACAGUGGCGGACUCGCUGUUGCCUCCUCUGCGUAGUAAUUACACCUCGCACCGGAUAGACACGAAGUCCACGCCGUAAAACAACCCAAUUUCUGAAUGUUGACCUCGGAUCAGGUAGGAAUACCCGCUGAACUUAA
rnacentral:misc_RNA from 1 species